rnacentral:rRNA from 1 species
UGAGUACGAGAUGCUACGGCAUCGAAGCAGUCUAUGUCAUACUUCCAAGAAAAGCUUGCAAUGUCAUAAACAAAUAAUGCCUGUACCAUAACCGACACAGGUGGGUAGGUAGAGUAUACUAAGGGGCGCGAGAUAACUCUCUCUAAGGAACUCGGCAAAAUGACUCCGUAACUUCGGGAGAAGGAGUGCCUUAUUUUUAUAAGGUUGCAAUAACAAGAUCCAAGCAACUGUUUACCAAAAACACAGGUCUCCGCUAAGUCGUAAGACGAUGUAUGGGGGCUGACGCCUGCCCAGUGCCAGAAGGUUAAAGAAGUUGGUUAGCAUUAGCGAAGCUGAUAACUGAAGCCCUGGUGAACGGCGGCCGUAACUAUAACGGUCCUAAGGUAGCGAAAUUCCUUGUCGGGUAAGUUCCGACCCGCACGAAAGGCGUAAUGAUUUGGAUACUGUCUCGGAGAGGGGCUCGGUGAAAUAGACUUGUCUGUGAAGAUGCGGACUACCUGCACCUGGACAGAAAGACCCUAUGAAGCUUUACUGUAACUUGAGAUUGAAAUUGGACUUUAUCUGCGCAGUAUAGGUGGGAGACGCUGAAAAUAUUCUUGCGGGAAUAUUGGAGUCAUCAGUGAGAUACCACUCUUAUAAUGUUAGAUUUCUAACUUUGUAUCAUUAUCUGGUCAAAGAACAGUUUCAGGCGGGCAGUUUGACUGGGGCGGUCGCCUCCCAAACGGUAACGGAGGCGCACAAAGGUUUCCUCUGAACGUGUAGAAAUCGUAUCUAGAGUGUAAAGGCAUAAGGAAGCUUGACUGUGAGACCUACAAGUCGAGCAGGGACGAAAGUCGGUCUUAGUGAUCUGACGGUGCUGAGUGGAAAGGCCGUCACUCAACGGAUAAAAGUUACUCUAAGGAUAACAGGCUGAUCUCCCCCAAGAGUUCACAUCGACGGGGAGGUUUGGCACCUCGAUGUCGGCUCAUCGCAUCCUGGGGCGGUAGUACGUCCCAAGGGUUGGGCUGUUCGCCCAUGAAAGCGGUACGCGAGCUGGGUUCAGAACGUCGUGAGACAGUUCGGUCCAUAUCCGGUGUAGGCGUUAGAAUAUUGAGAGGAGCCUUCUUUAGUACGAGAGGACCGAGAAGGACAUACCUCUGGUGUACCAGUUAUCGUGCCAACGGUAAACGCUGGGUAGCCAUGUAUGGAGAGGAUAACCGCUGAAAGCAUCUAAGUGGGAAGCCCACCUCAAGAUAAGUA